ensembl:lncRNA
GUUUUCCAUGGCCCAACCCCAGAGAGAAUAGUGCGGGUUGCCUGGGAACUGGGAUCCAGUCACAAAGAACGGCUUCCCCUUUGGCUUGGGAGCUUGAAUGUGGGCUUGGGACCUUGGAUGUGUGAAAGGCUUCGCAGGAUGGCAGGUCCACCUUGCAAACUCUGUCUGGGUUUGAUAAUUUGCCUAGUUAUUUACACCUGUGUGCUUAGUCUCUCAGUCGUAUCCAACUCUUUGUGACUCUUUGGACUGUAGCCGGCCAGGCUACUCUGUCCGUGGGUUUUUUCCAGGCAAGGAUAAUGGAGUAGGUUGCCAUUUCCUCCUCCAAGGGAUCUUCCCGACCUAGGGAUCAAACUCAAGUCUUCUGUGUUCUUCCUGACCCAGGGAUCAGACCUGCAUCUCCUGUGUCUCCUGCAUUGCGGGCAAAGCCUUUAUUUACUCCUAUUUUUAAUUUGGGGGUAAGAUCAAAUCUAAAUGCACAAGAGCAUUCAAAAUACGGAAGGCGGGCCUGGAGCCCCAGGUUUUAACUCCAGCUCUGUCCCCGUCUAUGUGGCCCUGGGCCACUCAGUGUCCUCAUUGGUAAAUUGGGGGGCUAAGAAGGGGGGGUGAUGGAGAUGCUCCCCUUGGUCUCCCUCAGCUCAGACACCCUGUGGCUGGCUGCAGCCCAGGGAACGUUUUCUGGCAGGAAAGAGAGGCUGCCCGGAGCUUCCUUCUCAGGCAGCCAAUGAGUACAUUCUUUCCUGUGCCCACAUAUGGAAGCAAUUUCUAGAUGAUCCAAGGCACUUGUGCUGCUGAGCUCAACUGAAACAGAGGAGCGCGGCGGUGGAAAGUGGAAAAAGAAAAACGCCUAGGGAGCAUGUUUACGGCUCUGGUUUACUUCAUCUGGGAUUGUUGCCACGGAGGGCCAGAAAUCAAGCAUGACAUGAAGAAAGAAACACUUCUGGGAACCUCACAUGCCUGGCCGCCCUGUUUCAGGACACUCAGAAACUAGGGUUGUAAUUCCACACAUACAUUUCCCGCCCUGUGGAGUUUCCUGCCUGUUUUGAAGCAGCUAAACUUUGCCUCUCUGUAGAUCCAUAAUCAGGAAUGUUUAAGCCCAUCUCUGUAGGUGCUGGAUUCUCUUCAGCACUAUUCAGAAAACUUCAGCCGACCCACCUCCUGUCCACCAGGUGCUGAAAGUCUGAAACCACACUCCAGGAGAAGAGUUCUGAGUGCAGGCCUGUUCCUGCCACCCCCGUGUGCAGUGUUAACUCAGGACUGGGAAGGUGCCCUGUGCCAGCCGGGGUGAUGCCACCUCCUGCUCUGCUGAGAAGAUGAAGACCGUUCAGUUCACUUGUCCUUUCUCUCCAGGGACUCCUUCCCCACCUAGGGUGGCCUCUUAUCUUUAAUGCAGCUGCAGCCAAACCCACUCACACCCCAGGCUCCCAAUGAUCAAUACAGUUGAACACCCCCCUCUCCAGGUCAGUCACCCCCAAACCUCCUCACUCCUCUGCAGCCUGUUUUUGCUUCAUCUCAUCAC